rnacentral:rRNA from 1 species
AUUGAACGCUGGCGGCAGGCCUAACACAUGCAAGUCGAACGUGUGGCGGACGGGUGAGUAAUGUCUGGAAAACUGCCUGAUGUAGGGGGUUAACUACUGGAAACGUUAGCUAAUACCGCAUACCAUCAGCUGUGCCCAGAUGGUAUUAGCUAGUUGGUGGGGUAACGGCUCACCAAUGCGAAGAUCACUAGCUGGUCUGAGAGGAUGACCAGCGACAUGGGAACUGAGAAAGGAUCCAGACUCCUACGGGGGGCAGCGGUGGGGACUAUUGCAAAUGGAGGGAAGUCCGACUGAAGCCAUGCGGGGUGUAUGAGGAGGUCUUUCGGGUUGUAAAGUACUUUCAGCGGGGAGGCGUUACCCGCAGGAGAAGCGCCGGCUAACUCCGUGUCAGCAGCCGAGGUAAUAC